GGAGCCCCCGCAGCUGGUGGGUCUUCUGACCCCUCAACCUCAGCUGGAGCGUGACCUCUGGAGCUCAUUGAAGACCCUCCACCCACUUAAAACUGCCCCUGGCCACCCACCUCGGCCUGAGGGUGCCGAUUGGUGCCCCUGCCCUUCACCUGCUCGCCAUCUGGUCUCCCCCCCAGAAGGAACUGCAGGCGGGGCACUCCGACGGCUUCUCCUUGCUGUGAGCCAGGCGCGCGACAGGAGGGUCCCUGCAGGAGUGCGUGGCGUCUGCCCAGCUGAAGAGCCGCUCCCACUGCAGAGGAGAAGUCAGGGUCCUGGAGGCCCUUCCCCGGAGGCCAGGGCAGGACACAUUCGUCUGUCGUCUGUGGGGCAGGAGUAUUUCCAGAAUGUGUGAG
ensembl:lncRNA